UACGUAGGGUGCGAGCGUUGUCCGGAAUUAUUGGGCGUAAAGAGCUUGUAGGCGGUUUGUCGCGUCUGCUGUGAAAAUCCGGGGCUCAACCCCGGACUUGCAGUGGGUACGGGCAGACUAGAGUGUGGUAGGGGAGACUGGAAUUCCUGGUGUAGCGGUGAAAUGCGCAGAUAUCAGGAGGAACACCGAUGGCGAAGGCGGUUCUCUGGGCCUGUACUGACGCUGAGGAGCGAAAGCGUGGGGAGCGAACAGG
rnacentral:rRNA from 1 species